CUCGCCAUAGCUCAAGUGGGAGAGCACUCCGGCUCACGAGUCAGGAGAGGACGUCGGUUCGAUUCCGGCUGGCGAGU
rnacentral:tRNA from 1 species